rnacentral:rRNA from 1 species
GACGAACGCUGGCGGCGUGCUUAACACAUGCAAGUCGAACGGAAAGGCCCUGCUUUUGUGGGGUGCUCGAGUGGCGAACGGGUGAGUAACACGUGAGUAACCUGCCCUUGACUUUGGGAUAACUUCAGGAAACUGGGGCUAAUACCGGAUAGGAGCUCCUGCUGCAUGGUGGGGGUUGGAAAGUUUCGGCGGUUGGGGAUGGACUCGCGGCUUAUCAACUUGUUGGUGGGGUAGUGGCUUACCAAGGCUUUGACGGGUAGCCGGCCUGAGAGGGUGACCGGCCACAUUGGGACUGAGAGACGGCCCAGACUCCUACGGGAGGCAGAAGUGGGGAAUAUUGCACAAUGGGCGGAAGCCUGAUGCAGCAACGCCGCGUGCGGGAUGACGGCCUUCGGGUUGUAAACCGCUUUCGCCUGUGACGAAGCGGGAGUGACGGUAAUGGGUAAAGAAGCACCGGCUAACUACGUG